AGAUUUGUCACAUUGUCUUGUAUUGGCUUCGUUAUCCAUCAACGUGAAGCUUUGAAGCCCUUUUCGUCUGUUGUCUUGUUUCUUCCCUGUUUCAGCUAGGCAGAUGGGAUUUAAAGAUAGAAGACAUUGCCCUUUGCUCUGCAAGUUAGCAACAGAAUACAUCAGGAAAUGCGAUGGUUGCGAAGAGGAUAUAUAUACAUAUUUCUCUAAUGAACCAGAUGUGGAUUCACUGUUUGUUAAGCUCGUGGAAGAGUUUGAGAGAUGCAUUCUUAGUUAUUUUGCAUUUCAUUGGAGUCAUGCAGAUCUUAUGAUUAGUCAGGUCAGCAUCAACAUGUAUAUACUAUGUUGGUAAUAUAUCGCUUCAAAUAUAUGAAAAAACUAUAAAAACUAUGAUUGAUACAUGUUCAAAUCCGACACAUCCAAGUUCAAAUAACAUAUAGUAAAUGACUUGUUUUUUAUCAUAUUGUUUUAGGUAUUAAGUUCUGAUGCUGAACCCAAGAGAAAGCUCAAGCAGAUUGUCAUGGCUGCAACUAGGUUGGGCAUAUUCUAUUCUUUGAUUAUUGUUAUUGUCAGAUCAUAAUAAUAACUAAAAAAAAUAUUGAAAUAAGGUAGAUCUGAAGAAUUGCAAAUUAAUAUAUCAACUUUAGAUUAUACCUAUUUACAGCAAGAAACUUGGAUUUUAAAACCUUAAAACUAGCGUAGCUAUAGUCUCUCACCAUUGUCGUCACUGCUGACAAGUAAUACUGAUUUCUACAAAAAGAACUUCGGUUUUGUAAUAUAGGGAACAAAGAUUUGAGAGGGUGACAAAAAGUCUGAAGGUGGCUAGGGUUUUCAAUACAUUGGUGGAAGAAAUGAAAGCAAUGGGACUCACCUCAACUGAUGAUUCUCGAUGUACAGAGGUGAUGGCUCCAGUGGCUCACAGUGAUAGAAGCCCAGUGCUGCUACUCAUGGGAGGUGGGAUGGGAGCUGGGAAGAGUACCGUCCUUAAGGACAUCCUCAAAGAGUAAGCUCGUCCUAUAUCCAACACUCAUCACCGAGUAACUCAAUGGUAACGUAGCAGACAAUUAGUCUCUUUUUGUUCCUGCAGAAGUAAAGUAACCAUUUGUAUGAAUGACUAUUUUAGUCAAGUAGACCUUCCAUAAAGUUUGCUUUUGAAAUUAGUAGUAAAUAUGAGUACUUACAAGGAACUAAUGUUGAGUGUUUUGCUUAAAAUAUGAAAAGAACAUUCUGGGCAGGCGCAGCAGGAAAUGCAGUAGUGAUCGAGGCUGAUGCAUUCAAAGAAUCAGAUGUCAUAUACAGAGCCCUCAGCUCCAAAGGUCAUGCAGACAUGGUUCAUACAGCAGAACUGGUAAGAGUCACUUUCUCAGCCUCACCAACUUUCACUGAUAGUUUCUUUAGCAAACUGAAUGAUUUCAAUUGCAUAGGAUUAAUGGCUUUAUACAGUAGCUAGCAGUAAACAAAGUUUUCUCCCAGCAUGUACAGGUUAUAAUCUAUGGAAACAAAGAGUUUCAAUGCAUUUCCCCAUCUCAUUCACUCCACUUGGAUCCUAUGAUUGGCAUCUCUAUCACCCAAGCUGGUUGCACUUUUGGCCAAAAUUUUGAGAUCAAAUAGCUCUUGGAUUAAACUUCCUUUAUUUCUAGAAAUAACACUAGGUUGCCUUUCUAAUUUAUGUGUAUAUGUUUUAGUAAUUAACUAGACUCAAAACUAAAACAUAAAAUCCAUGCAACCUGAAGGAAAAUGAUUUAGUUGCAUUAUUAACUGAAAAUGUCAAACAUCUACAUUUAGAAAAUGCAUACCAACGGCAACCAAUUCAAAUAUUUUUCCAGCCUUUCCAUAAUGCAAGAGCCUCUGUAAUCAUUUUCUGAGCUACUCUGAGGUUGGACUUUCUUCCAUCAACCUUUAAUCAAUUAACAACAUCCCAGUAAUCCAUGUCCUGUAAUAUCUUGUCACUGCCACAUGUGGCCCUAAAAAAGUUUCCUUCCCACAUGAAUAAGUGUAUCUUUACAUCAAUAGUAAUAAAUAUUUCAUUUUUCUGUUCUCCACCAAGUCAACAUAGACUCAUAGUUCUCAAACAAAAAACUCAAUGUUAAAUGCACAAAUCAACAAAAAAAUACUUCAUAGGUAAAUGAAUAACAUGGUAACCAUAUUAAUGCUUCUCAUUGGUUUUAACAAUUGUCCCAAACAGGUGCACCAAUCAUCUACAGAUGCAGCAUCAUCCCUCCUAGUGACAGCACUCAAUGAAGGGCGGGACGUGAUCAUGGAUGGAACACUCUCCUGGAUACCAUUUGUUGUGCAAACAAUAACUAUGGCCAGAUGUGUCCAUCGCCGGCGAUAUCGUAUGGGUGUUGGUUACAAGCGAAAAGCUGACGGGACUGUAAUUGAGAACUACUGGGAGCAAAUUGAAGAAGACCAAUUGCAAGGAGGGAAAAGGAGGAAGCCAUACAGAAUAGAGCUGGUUGGGGUUGUUUGUGAAGCUUAUUUAGCGGUCAUUAGAGGCAUAAGGUACUGCACCAUGGAAAACACUAGAGACAGUUGUCUUAGUUUUAGUACGAAGUCUUUUCCCCUUUAGCUGAGAUAUUGAUUUUAUCAAGAAAUUCAAUAUUUACAGGAGAGCUAUAAUGUGUAGACGCGCUGUAAGGGUGCAGUCACAAUUGAAAUCCCACAAGAGAUUUGCAAAUGCGUUUCCAACAUAUUGCCAACUGGUUGACAGUGCUAGGCUGUAUUCCACCAAUGCUUUGGAAGGUCCACCUAAGGUGAAUUAACUAUCACACAUUUUCAAUCUUAAUUUACUUAACAGGUGACAUAAAACUGAAAGGAACACCUAGUUCACCAAAGAAUUUUAACUCUGGAACCUAAGGUCAGAACAGCUGGAACAGACUGGACCAAUCUUGAAUCACUCAGAUAGCUAUAAGUUCAUGCAAGAAAUGCUAUUUGUAAAUUGUUUGACAUUUCAAUACAGGAGGCUUUGUCUCUGGUACAAAAUUAGAUGAGGAGAACUGGCUUUCUGUUAAAGCCAUGAACCCUGCUCAAUCUUUCAGGAAGAUCAUAAGCAGGCUUACCACUAGGCUAAUUUUAUUGGAAAAAAACCAUAGUAGUAUAAAAAACAGCUGACACUGUUGUAAAGUAGAAAUCUACAAAUAGAACUCCUUUCUAGGCAUGCAAACUUGCAUUUUCUUGCAUUCCAGCCGCCUAGUUUACUCCAUUAUAAUCCUAAAACUGAAAUCUAGGAGGAAGAGAAAAUAGCCUUGUCUGUUACAGAUAACUGCAGGCUGCAGCAUGCAGGGAUAAACAAAUAAAUUGUGAAGGAACUUCAUUGCUAGCAAAAUUACUCCAUGCAACCAAUUAUGUAAUAUUAACAUGAAAAUUUUUGUAAAGUUGAUAGGAUGGAAAGAAAGAGAGAGAACCUUGCUAGUUGAUCCAGAUGAAAUUGACUGUUUAAAGAAAGUGGGCAGGCUGAAUGAAGAAGCUGAGUCCAUAUAUGAACUUUACAAGCACCCCAACCCGGCAUGUGAAGCUGGUUCAAUCUGGAAAGACAUUGUACUAUCACCUUCUAGACUAAAUAUUCAAAAGGAGCUGAAGUUUACCAUCCAGAAAGUGGAAAGAAUGACACAGCACAAAAAGAGUUAAAAGCUUAUGAAUAUUCACCAAAAAAUUUACAUGCUGAAGGUGUCUCAAACCUUUUUCUAUAGUUAUGACCAAGAAUGUCUACUAAGGUUGUAUUAAAUCAUGAAGAAUAUGUGUAAAUUUUUUGUUACUAGCUUAGCUCAGUUCAGAAUCUGGAACUGGAAAACAGAAUAUUCCCAUUAAUUGUUUCAAAUAAUCAACUAGUAUCGGUAGAUGUGGGGCUGAGCGUUGGAACUCCAAAGAGGAAUUUAAAAGUAAAAGAAAGAGCAAUUACAGCAGCAACUUAAGUGAGAUAAAUUCUUACUUCACAAUUCAAUUAACGCAGACUGUGCGUGGUUGCAAUUACCAUCAAAUCUAAAGUCAUGCAUCCACACAAACAUGCACACCUACAACAAAAGAUGAGUAUGGAUGCUAGCUUUCAAGCAAUAAAUAAGCAGAAUAAAUAUGAUAAUAACCAAAAGGAUCUGCAGCAUGGGAUAAUGCAGACCACUAUCAACGAACCUGGACAUCCCAUUAUUUUCCUUUAUUACAACUAAGAACCUAUUCAACGCUCAAAUAAAAAAUGAAUUGUUUAGCAAAUGGUUGUCAAUUGAUGACCCACCCAUAAACAUGAAGAAAAUAAUGGUAAUCCAGAUUGUGAAUGAAAUAUGUAACUAGGAUCACAAUUUAUGAUACCUGGAAGCUAAAAGUGAAGCAUUUCACAUAUUCAAAAGAAUCCCCAUUUUCGGUAGAGUGAUCCUGCAAAUACAAACCACUGUAAUAAUGAAACCACAACAAUUUUUUCCCUUUUGGAACUGUUUUAUAAAAUACCAUAUUAUAGAGCUGUUCUUGAAAAACAAUUGUUCAUAAUAGAAGCUGCUCUGAACAACAAUUGUUCUAAACAUAGUUCUUGAAAUGCAAUUAUGCUAAACAAAAGUUAUGGACAUUAGCUAUUAUCAAGAGGAGCCAUUCUAAAAUGAUAGCUACCUUGGAUGACAAAUGUUCUAAAUGAAGCCUUGUUUUGAACAUAGUUGUUUCAAAUUUAGAUUCUCAAACAAUAAUUGUUCUAAACAAUAACUAUUCUAAACAAGAGUUGUUCUUCCAGAAGAGAUAUUAAUAGAAGCAA
rnacentral:lncRNA from 1 species